UACGGGGGGGGGGCAAGCGUUGUUCGGAAUUACUGGGCGUAAAGGGCUCGUAGGCGCCAACUAAGUCAGACGUGAAAUCCCUCGGCUUAACCGGGGAACUGCGUCUGAUACUGGUUGGCUUGAAUCCGGGAGAGGGAUGUGGAAUUCCAGGUGUAGCGGUGAGAUGCGUAGAUAUCUGGAGGAACACCGGUGGCGAAGGCGGCAUCCUGGACCGGUAUUGACGCUGAGGAGCGAAAGCCAGGGGAGCAAAGCGGG
rnacentral:rRNA from 1 species